rnacentral:rRNA from 1 species
CGUCGACCGGCGUACGGGUGAGUAACGCGUAUCCAACCUGCCCACCACUUGGGGAUAACCUUGCGAAAGUAAGACUAAUACCCAAUGAUAUCUCUAGAAGACAUCUGAAAGAGAUUAAAGAUUUAUCGGUGAUGGAUGGGGAUGCGUCUGAUUAGCUUGUUGGCGGGGUAACGGCCCACCAAGGCAACGAUCAGUAGGGGUUCUGAGAGGAAGGUCCCCCACAUUGGAACUGAGACACGGUCCAA